rnacentral:rRNA from 1 species
GUUCCUACGGGAGGCAGCAGUGAGGAAUAUUGGUCAAUGGGCUUACGCCUGAACCAGCCAAGUCGCGUGAGGGAAGACUGCCCUAUGGGUUGUAAACCUCUUUUGUCAGGGAGCAAUUGGCGCUACGUGUAGCGUUAUCGAGAGUACCUGAAGAAAAAGCAUCGGCUAACUCCGUGCCAGCAGCCGCGGUAAUACGGAGGAUGCGAGCGUUAUCCGGAUUUAUUGGGUUUAAAGGGUGCGUAGGCGGGCUUUUAAGUCAGCGGUAAAAAUUCGGGGCUCAACCCCGGCCGGCCGUUGAAACUGGG